CGGAAAUGACCAGGUUGGGUGUUUUCAGGUGCCAGUGCUGGGUCAGCAGCUCGUAGAGGAUUUCUGCGUCCGUGUCGCAGGACAGACGGAUAUACUAUGGGGGGAGGAGCAGAAGCAUCAAGAUAAGCCUGUGUUCUCCUGAGGUCGGUGUUUAGCAUCCGCGCCAACACCCCGCCCACGCUUGCCUGCUUCUAGAAGAGGGGCGUGGUGGGGGCAGCAGGGAUCGUGGCACUGGGAGUCCCAGGCGGGGGCCGUGCCAAGGACCCACGAGGAAUGGAAGUGUGAAAGGAAAAUAAAUCUUGGGGCCCGAAAAUUCAAGCUAGGAACUGCUUGGGACAAACCUGCCUCCCACUCUAUUCAAAGUCACCCCUCUGCUCGCAGAGAUGAAUGCAUAUGUGAUUGCCUCCUUUGGAGAGGCUAAUCAGAAACUCAGAAGAAUGCAACCGUUUGUCUCUUGUCUACUCAUGACCUGGAAGCCCCGUCCCGUUUCGAGUUGUCCCGCCUUUGCCUGAUUUUGUGAACUUUCCUCAUACCAACUAAAUGCAGUAUUGAGCCAGGCAAGAGGGCAUCACAGAGGCACAGUGGAAGUUACAACAAUGAAUGAGACUACUCUUCCCUCGGAGGGUAUAAAAGGUAGCAUUUGACCACAAAUGGGCAUGUUAUAAGUAAAGUGUCACAAAGGCCAAGGAAUCCAAGUACCUGGAGCACAAAACACAGUUCAAGAAAGCUUUGAGCUUUGUUUUGAACCUAUCAUCUUUGACCAAUCACAGACUGUGGAUUAAGGAUUAGCCCCAAUUUAUACAUCUUUAGCCCUUACACACACAUACAAAAGUUACAACUCUUAUGACAACCAAGACUGGAUGCGCAUCAGCAUGGAGUCCUGGGAACCGUGGCUGCAUUCAUGUGUGUUUUUACUUUUGUUGCCUCUGAGUACCUUUCUCUUAAUCCUGGAAUAGGAUGCAUAAUCCAGGCUCAAAUAUAUUCAUUGCUUUCUUGUUUCCCAUAAACUGUAAACAAAUGGAAAAUUAGUUCCCGUGUAAUGCUGUAUCUCAGGAGUAAACAACCUGUGUCUCUGGUGCCCAAUAGCCUUGGAGAUGGGUAUAAUCUGCAAGAUCCCCAUGCCUCCCAUGGUUCCUGAUACAGCCAGUGCCCAAUAAAUAUUGGUGGAUUGAUGAGUAGCACAGCACCAGGGUUACUUCAACGGCCAUGCAGCAGACGAUGACGUAGACCUAAAAUCAAAUACAGAUUUUCUGCCUGUGCUGCCACCAUCCUAGAUCUUGAGUUCUUUUCUUGCCAUCUUUUAAAGGUAAGAAAUCUCCUUUAUUGGGAUACUCUUGUCUGAAAACAACUCUAUUUCUAGGAUCAAGUAACAGAAAGUCAUUAAAUGUGGACAUACAAGAGGUCCCAUCCUUUUCAUGAUGCAGAGAUGGAACAGAAAUGUGUAGGGGGACUUUUCUUCGCAAGAGGCUACCUUCUCUUUCAGUAAUGUGAAAGGAUUUUGGUAAUUCUAGUGUAACCACUGAGCCCCACCAUGGAUAUUCAGACUUGGAAGUUGCUAGAUCUUCGCCCCACACUGUGGCACAUCUGUUGUGUUUAAGGAGUCAGAGAAAUUUUAUUCACCAGAUCCCCUUUUAAAGAGAACCGUGCACCAGUUUGCAAGUAAACAAAAACCUAACUCAACCCACGUUUGCUUAAGUAAAUAAGGGAUUUAUCGGUUCAGGAAGUUUAAAAUAGUAGGGGCAUAUUGUAUUCAGCAGCAGCUCGAUCAAGGGCUCAGGUGACCAAGACUUGGCUUCUGCCUCUGUGCUUCUUGGUUUCAGCCUUCUCCAUCUGGGCUUUAUUCUCAGACAUAAGGAUCUUGCCUCCACUCAUGGUUACAAGAUGGUCACAGGAGCCAAAACUAUCAUCAUCUCACAUGCAACAAAAAUGGGGAAAAGAUUGUCCACUUUUCAGAUGGCACAAACAAAAGUCUUGGAAUUGAAUCUUGAGGUUUCUAAUUGGCCUGAGAUCACAGAUCUACUCUAAGCAGUUGCCGUUAUAAUGGCAUGCAACUCAAUGACCACAGGACCAUUCCAGAGGUGCUGCAGAGCAGGGAUCACAAACUGAGAGCCAGUGGGCUGAAUUCAACCCAGAGAUGUGCUUUGCCAGGCCAGCAUGGUGUUUUCAGAUUUUUUAUUUAAACACCUUUGGCUGAUGUCUCCACUCUUCAGUUUCCUGAAGACCUUCCUACUCCACGCUCAGCCUGAUUUACAUAUUGAUAUUACUGCCUGGUUUGGUAAGGUAUUUAAUUUUGCACACUAUUAUAGAUGUAAACUUAAGAAUUCUGUGUAGCUGAACUAAACAAUCAUUGGGGAUCAAUUACUUCUGCGUUCCCAGUAUCUAGCAUAGUACCUGCACACACAGAGGUCAUGCAAAGGUGCUUAUAGAAUUAUACUCAUUAAUCUACUGAUCACAGGGUCAGGUGCAAUGACCCACACCUGUAAUCCCAGCUACUCAGGAGGCUGAGGUGAGAGGAUCACUUGAGUCCAGGCUGUAGUGGGCUAUAAUCACAUCACUGCGCUCCAGCCUGGAGACAGAGAAAAACCUGUCUCUGGAAAAAAAAAAAAAAAACUUCUCAAGCAGAGAUUCUAUGGGACUGGGGGAUUAGUUCCAGCUUAAUCAAACAUUAACCAUAGGACCUUGGGCAAAUCUCUGUGCUUGAGAAGGACACAGUGAAGAUAAAAAGGAUCACGUGCCCAUGUAAGGACCCAAAGGCUGUAUCUGUAAGAGGGCAGGCUGGACUCUGUGACAAACAACCCUUAUCUCUGAGGAUUCAUGCAAAAAAAGUCUAUUUCUUGCUCAUGCCCAGUUGAAUGUGGGAGUUCAGCAGGCAGCUAUUCACCUGGGAUUCAAGGGCCCAUCUCUUCCGUUCUGUAGUUCUGGUAUCUCCUGGGCCUUAGAGCCCCUCUGAGAUCGUCCGUUAAAUCCAGCAGAGAAGAGAAAAGAGUGAGAGUUUGAGAGGCUGGGGCUGGAAGUGACAGCUAUUACUUCCAACUACAUUGCACUAGCCAGAACUCAGCCCUGUGGCAACACCUACCUUGAAGAGUGACUGGGAAAUGUCUGGCUGUGUGACUAGGAAGAAAAGAAAAUGAGGUUCAUGAACAACUACCCAGACUCUACCCAAAGCUAUAAGUCAAAGGAAGGGCUUUAUUCACCUUUGAUUACAGCCUCCACACCUUUAUCCUGGAGGCCUUGAUAUGACAUUUAAUGCGCUUCAUGGAAAAAUCAAAAUAAGAAAAAUUUCCCUUUUUCAUUCUAAGAUACAAAGAGUUCAAUUUUUCAGGCCAAUCAUGAAGAAAAAGAGGGGUAAGAAGAGAAGAAGAGAAGGAAUAGGAACGGCAAUGGGAAAAAGAAGUAGAAGUGAGUUUGUUCCGCAACCACUUGUUUUCUGGAAUUCUUAUAUACAGUUGCAUUAGCCAAAUCCCCUGGCUAAAGUUAUAAUAUUGGAUGUUGCUUAUCAUGUGUCUUUAAUUAUAAGGAAUCAUUUUUACUUACAGAAAAUAGAAGGCCGGACACAGUGGCUCACACCUGUAAUUCCAGCACUUUGGG